rnacentral:lncRNA from 1 species
CCUCUAUAUUUGGACCCUAGUGACAUGAGCACAGUCUGCCCUCUGCAGGGCCAGGAGAGACAAACAGAAGGGGAAUGCGUUUUUCUCUGUGAUGUGGGGAGUGAAAGGGAUAAGAGUAGAAAUCCGGCAGUCCCUCCUGAGGCUCCCAGUAGUGCUGGGGCGCCAGAGGGUACAUGGUCCCAAGGCCAAUGCAAAAGUGCACACGCACGCACACACACACACCCCCGCACACACACACACCCCUGGGGCUUAGCUCCUGAUCCCAGCUCUUGGGUCAGACUGGGAGGGGGCCUCAGAAGAGCAUGCCAGGUAGAAGUGGCAGCUGUAAGGGCACCGGAGAGAUACAACCCUCAAAGCCUGCAGGGACUCAGAACCCCAGCUGAAAGCAAAGUUCAAGAUCAUUCCAAGGCCCUUGAGUUGCCAAAACAUCCAAACGACACUGAUGUGCAUGGCUGCAGAAGCUGGGGAGGAAGGAGAGUGGGAGCAGGGAGAGAACCUACAAAUCCCCAACAGAAAAACCAGAAGCGCAGGGGAGCCCCAGACACUGGCAUCUGGCACCUGGCAAGCCGGAGGACAGUCCACGGCAAAGAGUCUCAGGGUCUUGCAGAGCGACACACUCAACACCCUCCGUGUCACAGGGACCCUGUGGGGAAAAGUGGUUCCCCUGCCCCCACCCAAGCCAGAGUCUUCCAGAGUCUCCCAUCUCAGUAUCCUGAACCCAUGGCUUAGAGGUUCUGGCAUGAUGGCCGUGAGGGCAGGAGGGGAUUCAAGCCAGGCCCCAGAGUUCAGGUGUUAAUGCUGUCCUAGAGCAGGUGGCCACGUGGAGCGUGGAGGGUGGGCAGGGAGGGAGAGUCUUCAGAGGUAGACAUUGAGGGUCUGCAGGAUGCCCCGGCGGCACAGAGGGCAGUUGCGGUGGUAGACGGGGUGGCGCAUCAGGAUCUCAGUGCAGGCCUGGCACAGGCACAGGUGCCGACACGGCAGAAGCAGCACUGUCUUGCUCUGAUCCUGGCAGAUAACACACUUCUUCCGCUCCUCUUGCUCCUUCAGCAACUUCCACGGGUCUUGCCCAGCUAUAGGCUCCUCCACAUUGAGCCUCUCCCGGCCCCGGGCAGCUGUCAUUCUGGCCAUCCUGACCUCCUCCCCUUCCGCCUCUGUUCUGGGCCCUGCUUCAGGGAGAGUGUCCUGUCGCCAGGUCCUGUCAGAGGGCACCCUCCUAGGGCCACCCUGGGGGGCCCCAGGUGCCCCUCCUCGGUUUGGCCAGCUCGCCAGCUGCAAGCUACGGCUCCAGACUCGGCGCCAUGCCUCCAAGCCCAGUGCUAGACGAGAAAGCCGCACAACAUCCUCUCUGAGCCGGUGGUAGGAUGGCCGGGCAUGAAGCUGGCUGAAGGCCCGACUGGCCAGCCUCAAGGUGAGAUUGACAAGCACAAAGCUGGCCAGGAAGCGGGCAGCUGAGGCCAGGAGCUCCAGUACUAGUUGGCAGGGGGUCCAGAGGAGGAUGGACAUGGCCACAGCACUGCUGGAAAUGUGGGCUAGGAAGGCAGCCACCACAUCUGUCAUCCUCCACAGAGGCCCCAUCACUGCAUCCCACAGGGCCAGCACCAGGGAGAAGAGGUUCUGAGUGCCAAUGAGACAGAUGUUGACCAGGCUGUUGAUCACGUAGGCCACCAGGCUCAUGGUAAUGGCACAUAUGUCACAGGCCUGGCGCAGCAAAGCAUGGCCACUGGAGACCAUAUUCAGGACGCCCCGGUGCAGGAUCUCGCGGCUCCUAAGUGCCCCAUGAGAGGCCAGAUGCCCCAGGAGCUUUAAGCUCUCCAGGCCAGAAUAGCAACUGUAGAGUACUGUACACAAGGCCUGCAAGCCCCCAAAGGUGAAGCGGACCACGGUUUCGAUCAAGGCCAGCAGUGAAAGCAAGACUCCGCGGCCCAAGUGUAGAAGACUAGUCAGUACCGUGUGUGGCAGGUUGUAGAUGAAGGCCAGGAGCCAGGCCAGGGAAGCCAGGAGGGAGGACACCAGCAGGAAGUUGAGGUCCAACACCAAGGUCAGCACAUCCAGCAACAGGCCCACCCCAUUCACUACUAGAUACACAGCCUCCAUGAUAGGGGCUAUGGGGAUUAGUACAAAAUGAAAUCUGGCUCCCGGUUAGAAGGGUGUCACGGUGGUCAAUGUUUAAGGGGCGGGGGAAAGGGGGUCAGGGAUUAAUUUGUAAGGGAGGUGAGAAGUCUCCAAUCCAGGGAGAAUCUGAGGAAGAAGCCAGUUAGAAGGAAGUGGAGACUCAGGGGAGGGAAAGGGGGCCAGGUACCGGUCCAGGAGUCCCGGUUUUGAAGGAAGGCUGUUUGGGAGGGAAGAGGCCAAACAUCUCUAAAGUGAAGGUGAUCCCGGGCUGGAGGAGAAACCUCAGCUUUGGAGGCCUGGUGGUGGCGUACCACGGCCGGGCAAUGGGUCAGCCCGAGAGGAGAUCGGGAACCGAAGGGAUGGGGUCAGGCCGGGGCCGGGUGGGGGCGGCGCAGGCUGGGCGCGGACUCGCGGUCCAGCUACGCAGGUGCCCCUGUCCCCGCCCGGCCCCCGUCCUCUGGGCUCGCGGCGCUUUGCGCUCGAAGGGGCAGUGGGGAAGGGAGCCUCAGCAAACCCUAGGCGCGGCCUCUACUCCUCUGGGUGCCGCCAUCUUGU